CUGGCUCAGGACGAACGCUGGCGGCGUGCCUAAUACAUGCAAGUCGAACGGCUUUUCUAUGGAAGCUUGCUUCCACUGAGAAGAUAGUGGCGAACGGGUGAGUAACACGUGGGUAACCUGCCCAUAAGAGGGGGAGUAACAUCCGGAAACGGGUGCUAAUACCGCAUAGUUUUCUUGAUCGCAUGAUCGGGAAAGGAAAGACGGCCUUUGUGCUGUCGCUUAUGGAUGGACCCGCGGCGUAUUAGUUAGUUGGUGAGGUAACGGCUCACCAAGACGAUGAUACGUAGCCGACCUGAGAGGGUGAUCGGCCACAUUGGGACUGAGACACGGCCCAAACUCCUACGGGAGGCAGCAGUAGGGAAUCUUCCGCAAUGGACGAAAGUCUGACGGAGCAACGCCGCGUGAGUGAAAGAAGGUUUUCGGAUCGUAAAACUCUGUUGUCAGAGAAGAACAAGUUGGAGAGUAACUGCUCCAGCCUUGACGGUAUCUGACCAGAAAGCCACGGCUAACUACGUGCCAGCCGCGGC
rnacentral:rRNA from 1 species